rnacentral:lncRNA from 1 species
GAGAGAGGGAGAGAGAUUAGAUUUGGCUUGGAUUUGGACUUUUGAAAACUCAAAGUUUACCCCGCGACACACCUCCUCCAAGCAAGGCCACGCCUCCUAAUCCUUUCAGAUAGUGCCACUCCCUAAUGUCUAAGCAUUCAAAUGGCACACAGGGGCCAUUCUUAUUCAAACCACACUACGUUUAGACUUACUCUGAGUCCUCUACCUUGAGGCCUCUUCUCUAGAAUCUCCAAGGUCAUGCAGUUUGGACCGACAAUUUUUGUCUAAUGCAGGUAUAGUCUGGAAUCCCCUAUAGCAUCCUGCUUAGUAUUCCGGGGCUUUUGUUCCCUGCAUCUGUCAAUCACCAAACGUCCUGCCCUCCUCUUUUUCCAUUACUUCUUUUGGAGGAACCUUACUGUGUUCAUUUUUUACUGAGAAAAGAGGCAUGGGAAAGGUUUGGGGUGAACAUCAUUUAUGAAAAGUCCAUCUUCUACUCUUAAAUUUAGUUAGGUUUGAUUGAGAAUUGAAUUCCAGAUGAAAUUUUUUUUUCUCAGAAGACAUUGUUGUACCCUACUAAUGAGGAAGUCAAUCAAUUCUUGACUUACAGACACGGUCAGUCCUCCACAUCCAAGGUUUCACGUCUGUGAAGUCAAUCAUCCUAAGAUAGAAAAUAUUCACAAAAGCUGUGUAUGGUGGCACUGGGAAGGCAGAGGCAGAGGCAUAGGCAGGCGGAUCUUUGUGAUUUUGAGACCAUCCUGGUCUGUACAGUGAGUUCUGGGACAAUGAGGGCUAUGUGAAGGGACUCUGUCUCAUUCCACUCACUACCACCCAAAAAGAAAAAGAAAAUAUGGAGAAAAUCAUCUGUGUCUCUACCCCUCCAAUAACACAGUGCAAACCUGUUUAUAUCACACUGUAGUGGGUAGUUUGUGCAUUUAGAAAUGAGUUCAAGUAUGUGAGAGAGGAUGAAUAUGCGACAUGCAAGCACUGUCUUUUCUGUAAGGAAUUUAGGCAUCCUUGCAGGUCCUGAGAGACAAGUAUAAUCUACCCUCCCUGCUCACUCAAAACUUUUUCAUUUUAUCUUCAGUUUCUUAAAUGAUGAAAUGGCAUGGUUCUGAUACAUAUCUUCUGAGCUUGGAACUUUAUAAAUCUUUUGAAUUGAGAAAUUCAUGAUGUUUAAAGCCUUUAUUACUUUUGAUAAUUUUCUCUUCUCCAUUCCCUCCAUUUUAUCUGUUCUCUUUCUAGAAAUCACUCUCUCCUUCCUCCCUAUUCCCCACCCCCACCCCACCUCCCCUUAUCUCCCUUCCUCUCUUCCCUCCCCAUUCUUUCUCUCCCUCCCUCCCCUCAGGCUCUUGCUUUGUAACCUAGGCUGGCCUUGAACUCACCUGAGCUAGGCAGGGUGCUGGAUUCCUGUGUGCUCCUCUGUACCACGUCAGAGGGGAUCUUAUUCAGAUAGUGCCCGUCCUUCCCAGACCAGCUCUUAGGCUGGUGGAUCUGUUUUCCAUCUGUAGCUCCUGGCUUUUCUUGGGAGUCUUCCCCUCUUUGUUUAAUUGGGGUGCCAUUCAUGGUUUCAUAUGUGUAAUACCCAAUGUGUAGUUGCCAAGAGCUCCUUCUCUGCCUGGGGCCAUUUUGCCUUCUAGUUUCAUGACUGAUGGAUGCAUCUCCUCUGGUCUCCAUGAGGACUUUCACUUACUUUAUUAGCCACUUGCUGCUGCCUGAAUUGGUCUUUUAUUCAUCCCCGUAUCUUUCCUCCAAAGCCUUUGUGCUUUGGUAUGGGAUGUUUGCAAGGCUGGCCAGGAGGUCAGGGUGUCAGCUGGGCCUUUGCUGAUUGAUGCCAGCUUUGGUGUUGGGAGGACUUUGCUGCCCAUUUUCAUAGGGGAGUGCGAAACCUAAUGUCCUGUGCUGUAGAGUUCAUUUGUUCGCUUUUACACCAGACCAGGCAUUGCGGUGAAUGUAUUUUACACAUGCAAUUGUCAUGUACAGUAUAUAAAAGCAAAAUACAUGCACACAUAUAUCCACCAGCAAACAAGUAAGUAGGCUUCCCAGAGAAAAGGAAUUCUGCCUCUGUAUAAGAAGGAAGCACUGCCUCAGUUUCCAGCCUGCUGACUUGCCCUACAAAUUUCAGACAUCCUCUCUUGCCCUACCCCCAUCUCUAGCUUCCUCAUCGACUAUAUAGGGCUAAGAUUCUCUAGGUGUCACAAUUAUACAAAUGAAUAACUAACUCAUGGACUCUUGUCUCUGUCUCUCUGUGUGCCUGUGUAUCUGUGUGUGUGUAUAUAUAUAUAUUAUAUAUAUUACAUAUAUUACACAUAUGGAGAGGCAUAUAUAUACAUAUACAUACACACACACACAGGAGCCCUGUCAGACACAGGGAGCCUCUGUUUCCUCUGUAUUUAGGCUUUGCCUCUUCUGCUAGACAGAUUUCUCUACAAAGAUUCUCUUGGUCUCCUCACUGAAUGUGCUGCAAGAGUUUUCCUAGUCUCCUGAUUUUGUUGAGGUACCUUCUGCAUCACACUGGGAAGAUAAUAAGAAAGCAUGAUCCUGAAAAAGAAAGUAAAUUAGCCCCUGAAUUUCAGGUCAUUGGCUUCUAACAUGACACUUAAGACUUCCUGGAUAUAUAUAUUUUAAGGUUUUUGUUUGUUUGUUUUUGUUUUUUAGCAAUUUUUAAGUUGGCACACAAAGCAAUGUGCUUGGUUAUGGCAUUUCAUACAUACUUUGUUCUUUUCAGUCCUCCUUCCCAAUACUCCUCUCCCAUUCUUUGUGCCCAUGAUUGGAUGCCCCCCUUCUGCUUUCACGUAUUCCCCACUGUCUGUUUUGUUCUCCACCAUAAGAUCUCUGCCUCCUCUCUCAUGCUGCCCUUUCUAGUCUCAUUACUUUCAGAGAGUGUGCAUGUAUGCAUGAGUGUGUAUGUGUGUGUGUGUGUGUGUGUGUGUGUGUGUGUGUGUGUGUGUGUGUGUGUGUGUAAUUUAAAAUGUAGGAUCUGCGUAUGAGAUAGUAUGUGACAUUUGCUUUUCUGAGUCUGAGUCAUUUUACUUAACAUAGUGAUUCUCCAGUUCUAUCCAUUUUCCUUCAAAUGUCAUAAUUUCAGUUUCCUUUAUAGAUAAAUAAAAUUAUACUUUGCACUUGGACCACAGUUUAUCUAUCCAUCAGUUGGGGGAAUAUCAAGACUGGCUCCAUUUCUUACCUGUUGUGAAUAGUUGUGAAUAGUGCAAUAACACACAUGGACGUGCAGGCAUCUCUAUGCUAGGACUUUGAGUCUCUGCCCCAUGUGGUAUCACCUGGUUGGAUGGCAGUCCUAUUUUUAGCUAUUUGAAUAACCUCCACGUUGAUUUCCAUACCAGCUACGUAAGGUUACAUCCACCAGUAGUAGAUAAGAGCUCAUCUUUCUCCACAUCUGUGCCAGCAUUUUCUCCACAUCUGUGGUAGCAUUUGUUGUCGAGUUCUUGAAGUUAGUCCUUUUGACUGGAAUGAGAUGACAUUCCAAAUUAGUUUCAAUUUGCAUUUCCCUGAUGGCUAAAGAUGUUGAACACUUACACCUGAUAUAUUUAUAUUUCUACUUUUGAGAACUAUCCCAUCCAUUAGUCCAUUUAUUGAUUAGCAGAUUUGAAGGUUUUGGCUUGGAGGGGGUUAAUUCUUUGCAUAUUAUGAAUAUUAAUGUUCGUCUGAAGCAUAACUUUAGAAUCAUUUUCCUCAUUAUGUAGGCCGUCUCUUUACUCUUGGAAUUGUUUCCUUCCAAGGCAAAAGCCUUUUAACUUCAGUUUUGGCCUGGAAUUAUGGUCAUACCCUGAAGUGCUUUCACUGUGUUUUCCUCCUAUGGCUUCGGUGUUUCAAGGUCUUGUCUUAAGGUCAUUGAAGCAUUGUAAAUUGAUUUUUGUGCAGGGUGAGAGAUGUGGUUCUAAUUUCAUUCCCAUGUGUGUGAAUAGCUAGUUUCCCUGGCAACCAAUUUUGCUAUGUUGGUUUUGUAUUCUGAUACUUUGCUGAAAGUAUUUAUCAGGUAUCAGAGUUUUCUUGUGGCAUUUUCGGCAACUUUUAAGUACAGAAUCAUGUCAUUUGCAAACGAAGGUGCUCUGACCCUAUCCUUUCCUAAUCGGAUCUCUAUUUCUUUCUCUUGUCUUAUUACUCUAGCUAAGAUCUGAGUGCUAUACUGAGUGGAGACUGAGAGCCCUUAUCUCAGAUACCAGAGGAGCACUGCAGGUUUCCCCAAUUAGUAUAAGGCUGCCUCUAAAUCUGUCAUACAUAGCCUUAUUGUGUCCCUAGUUUCUUCCUUUUUAUUGUGGAAUGAUGUUUAACUUUAUCAAGUAACUUUUCCAUCUAUCAAAAUGAUCAUGUGAUUUCUGCCCUAAAAUCUACGUACUUGUUGUCUUACAGUUGUAGGAUAGUUGAUUUAUGCAUGUUGAACCAGCCUUGUGUUGUUUGACAAGACUAUCUUGGUCAUCAGGUAUGACCUUCUAAAUGUGUCUUGAAAGUAUUUGGUUGAAUAUUUUUGUGCCUAUGUGCAUCGAGGAAGUUGGUGUGUGGUUUUCCUUCUUGAUGUUGCCUAUGUUUUAAUCUGGUUUUUACUACAAUUAUCUUUUAAAAAUUGAUCUUUCCCAGAUGACUUCCAAUUUAUGAUGGUUCAACCUGGGAUCUUAUUUUUCUUAUUUUUCAAUAUUUACAUUCACUAGAAGUCAUACUUUGGAUUGUAAGUUCUUGUUGCUUUUUCCAGAAUAUUGGUAUGAAAUAGACUGAUAUUGGUAUGAAAUAGACUAGUAUCUCAAGCUGCUAAGCAGUGACAAAAAGGCACAGGUCUCAGAGUUGUGUGCUCACAAGGAAAAAUAACUGAUGCUUUGCAGUAUACCGUACUCAACUCUAAUGUUUGGUAGAUGUCCUAUACUACAUCCAUUUCACAAUCUGAACGUUACAUUAUAACCACAUCAUAAGUCAAGGAACAUCUUUAUAGUCUUAAAUUAUUUUGUUUUAUUUUGAUCCCAGGAGAUUUUGCGUACUAGACAAGUGCUCUGAUGGGUCCACAUCUCCAGACUCUCAUUGGCUUUUUUUUCUCCUUGUUAUUGUUGUUUUUGAGACAAGCUCGUACUGUCUAGUCUGUGUUCACACUCAUGAUCCCAAGUGCUAUGAUUCCAGUCAUACAUCUCCACACCCUUGCCUAAUAAUUUUGUUUCUAGCCAGCAACUGAACCAAUGCUCGGACAGUUGGUGUGACUGGCCCUUUUCCAAUGUUGGGGUCUAAUCCUUGAUUCAAGAGUGCUAAACUGGGGAAAUCCUACACAGGGGUCUCCAUGAGAAUAUUCUUUGCCUACUUGAAGCUCUCUGUAAUGUUCUUCUGCUACAGAAAGAAACGUAUUUGAUAAGGGAUGGGGGAUCACCUUUCAGCACAAGAACUAUUGGGGAGCAUUCUGUGCCUACCCCAGCUGCAAUAAGAGGCAAGACAGAAAAUUAGUUCCUGCUGGGGAGCAGAGGUGUGUUCCCAUCACCCUCAUCAUCACCGUGGUGCUGGUCUCCAUCAUCGUUGCUUCAGGCACGUUUAUGAGAUGCUCACACCGUUCCAUGAUGACGGAAUCAUCCAGAGUGACAUGACCUUAACUCAUCACAAACGUUGACUCUGUUCCCUCUUACACAAAGAACAGCACACCCGUGGCUUAUGACAUCAGAGCUACAAGCUUUAAGAACUUACACAAAGAACAGCACACCCGUGGCUUAUGACAUCAGAGCUACAAGCUUUAAGAACUUACACAAAGAACAGCACACCCGUGGCUUAUGACAUCAGAGCUACAAGCUACCGCUUUAAGAACUUACAUUCCAAACGAAUUAACUACGUAGAGAAAAUGCUGACAACAUGCAAAGGGUUUUUGUUUUUUCUUUUUCUUUUCUU